UAAGCCCUCUGACCACCUCCAUCUAGGUUCCCAGUUCACGUCCUUAUCUGGGUCCUUCGCCCAUUCAAGCUCCUCAGGCGCAAUGCCCAAAUCGUUCUCAGUCCUGUCGACCCAGAUAAGCUGCCUCAGUUUCUCUUCCUCCAGCCUUAGAGAAACAGGAGUCAGAUCCGAAAUCACCAGUAAAGCCUCUGUACUAGUAGUACAGUACCCCCCAGUGAUCCUCAGAGUUGCUACUCUCUGCACUGACUCUAAAGUUGUUCCGACUUUCCUAUCGCGGUUCCUCUUCCACCACGCUCUUGAACCGUACAGAAGAAUCGGCUCAACGCAGCUGAGGUAGAGACUCCUGAAAAUCUCCCCUUCCCUGCCCCCUCUCAGAAGCGCUAGCCUGCAUAGUCUCGAUAGUGCAGACCUAGCCCUCAACCCUAUAUCCUUGGCGUGGUCCAUCCAGCUCAACUUAUUGUUCACCACUACACCGAGGAUUUUCAUGUUUGACCACCUGAAUCCUCUCACCCCCUAGCUGCAAGAUGGGAUUGUGGUCAUAUUCGACGCCAGUCCGUUUGGCUCGAACAUCUCGCGAUUUGAAACUCUGGGCCUUUGUUUUGCCCACGUUAAAUUUGAGCUUCACCAGUUCUGCCCAACCCUUUAACCUACCGAUGCUUUUAUUGGCUAGAGCCUCAGCUUUUCUUCGGGAUUUCUCACUUAUAAUCAGGUAGUUGUCAUCAGCAUAGGCUACCAUGCAGGCGCCUGCUGGAAGUUCCUUGCGGAGAAUAGUGUCAGCCACUACAUUCCACAGUAUGGGACCACAGCAGGAACCUUGAGGGCAGCCCUUUGACACUAUUCUGUGCAUGUCCACUGCACCUACCUCAAUUGAGACCCGCCUGUCUCGUAAGAAAUCCCUUAUUAACGUCAGUAGGUUAAAGGGACACCCUUUCUCAUCGAGGGCAUUCACAACCAUGUUCCAAUUUGGGUUGUCGAACGCGCCUGCGAUGUCGAAGGAGAUCUCAAUCACCCAGUUUCCCUUUGCGACUCCUUCCUCGAUCUUGCCCAGUAUCCCCUCCAAGCAAGUGGUCGUAGACAGUCCCUUCCUAAAGCCAUGUUGGGAACUGGAAAGGUGUCCGCCCGAUUCUAGCCACCUUGUCAGCCUUUGUGCCAGAAGACUGUCCAUUACCUUUCCCAGGCAUGAUAGGAGAGACACAGGCCUAUAGUCCUUUGCCGUAGCGCCCGACUUGCCACUUUUUUCGAGUAAAGCAAUCCUCGCUGCCUUCCAAGCCCUCGGGAACCUACCCAGUUCCAAGCAGCGAUUGUAUAACCUGGUGAGAAGUGACCCAUAUCUUCUCACCAGAGCCUUCACGAUGGUGUUGUCAAUGCCAUCGGGACCAAGGGAUUUUCUGUUCCCAAAUUUGAAGGCUGUCCUUUUGACCUCCCUCUCAGUGAAGAGUGGAUCCAUACGCCCAUUUCUUGGUAACACAUCCUCGCAUUCCAGGUGCCCCACCCCAAAGUUCACGUCCAGAAUAUGAGACAGCGUGUCCGAGAGGUCAUGUGCGCGCGAUCCAUCCUCCUUUCUUAACAACUUCAGGGCCUUAGGAUUCCGAAGUUUCUCCAUGGCCAACUUGUAUGGUAAACCAUACUUGUCGUCCUUCAGUGUCCUGCUAUACUGAGCUCUCCAAUGACCUCUGUGUGCUUUCCGUGUCCUCUUCUUGUACUUGGCCAGUUCCGCCCUGUACCGAGUCCACUUCCCCUCUCUUUCAUUUUCGCUACACUUCUGCGCUCUCCUCCUUAAAGCCCGCAUCCUUUUCCGCUCCACCAGGGCUGCUUUUUCCUCUUAAAGGAAAGAACUGUCCCAGUUCCAGGUCCAAGACCUCCGCUCGUAGUGAUGAUGUCAAGGUGAAGCCCGUCCACAGCUCUCUCCAGGCUAUCACCAUCCACCGCCAGUUCUAGGUCAUUUUCAAGUUCAGUGUUGAACUUUUUGAGAAACCUCUUGAUAUUCGCUCCCCUGACGCUGUACCUGGGAGUCCUCUCUACAGAGACCGGGUUUGCUGAACUCUUUGCUGUGAAGCUGAUUAGCUUGUGAUCACUAGCAUCAGUAAACUCGGCUUUCCAAGAGUCUCUAACGAGUCCACUUCCCCUAUUUAGGGUGAGGUCAAUCACGCUUUCACCGUUUCGCGUGCUGAACGUCGGAGUGCCCCAAUUGUUCCAUACCUCCAGACCCAGAGAUAUUAUUAGGUCCUCUAGAUUUCUGCCCCUGGUGCUGUCUUCUCUAUCUCUCAGGAAGAGUGAGCGGGCAUUAAAAUCGCCAGUUAUUAGCACGUUUUCGAUCCUAACAUUUCUAACCAUUUGACUCAGCAACUCAAGCACACCUUGCUCCGGUUCAAUGGGUGAAAUGUAUACAGAAAUGCAUAGCAGCUUGAGAUCCGCCGUCUCAACCAUAACUGCUAUUACGCCCCUCCAGGAGCCAUACUCAACGCAAAGAACGUCACCCCUGACCAGGAUACAAGCCUUCCUACACCCACCAUAGAAUGUCUUGUACCUUGUAUCUACCCACAUUUUGUUCCUUGAGAUGUAUGGCUCCUGCACCGACACCACAUGAAAUCCCUCCUCUUUCAUGUGUCGGUUCAACUCCUCGUUCCCCCUUCUUGCCCUAGCUGCGUUCAGCUGGGCAAAACUCCACCGAUAUGGUGCCAGUGUCACUAUGAUCGAUUCUGGAGAUGCCAGUUCCUUACUCCACAGGCUUUGGAUCUUAGCGUGUGAUCCAGCCUGUACUUUUUCUUAGACCUUUCCUUAGCCUCCUUACAGAGCCAGCACCCUACUGUCUCGAGGCAAGGUUCUACCCUCUCAUGCAACCCUUCGCACUUAUAGCACCGCCAUGGGUUCCUACACUGUGUCGCCAGGUGACCCAUGCCCUUACAGUGCUGACAGAAAGGUACCCUCAUAUUUACCUUUACUGUCACCCUUCUAAAGCCAAUGGCAAGUUUCUUUAGGCCUUUCAGCCUGUUGCCAAUCACACCAUUUGUCACCAAAACCCACGUCUGGGUUCCAGUACCUCUGGUGUAGACCUUAAUGAGCCGGUCCUUCUCCCCCCAGUUUGACGCCGUUCUGGUGUCUGAGGAAAUCUCGUAUUUCCUCACUGGAGUGUUUGGGGUCCGCUCCCAACAGAACCAGCUCAAAAGGCUGCUCCCUCAAGUCCCUACAUUCGGCGAUCACACUCUCCCUCAAUAGUGGGGUCGCUUUGACCUUGUCUUCCGCCUUUAGGAAGGUCAAGGCCACCCCCGUACCCUUUUUAAUCUGGGUCAUCUUGUAGUUUAGAUGCCCAGAUUCUGCGCCGAGCCUUUUAAUAACUUCCAUCAAGAGGUAACCUUCGGCAUCCUUUUUUUUCUCAACAACGAGCGUCCUCGUUGUAUCCCAUCUGUUGGAUCUCCCCUCUUUCGCCUUUGUUGAUCCUUUGGGAAGGGCCCUCACGCUCUCCUUAACCAUUCCAUCAAAGGUUCCCUUAUCACACACACACACACAAAAGCCUUUAAGACACGCUGGUCUUAUAGAGGAUUCUUCCCGAGAUUACAAGAGAGAUAGGCCUGUGAAAGUGGGGAAUAUACAGAAGAAGAAAAAGAAAGAUUAUGUAAGUAUGAUAUAUUGGUUCCCUCGUCUGGUAUCAGGGCAAUCAGCGCACUGUUGAGUUCCCUCACCUCGGCGAUGGAUCCCUCCAGGCUCCUGCACCUGUUCAGUAAGGUGGCGAAGCAGGUUUCCAGAAGUACCAUCUGCUUCACCGCCACCCUCUUGCCCUUUUUCAAGGUCUCGAAGGUGGAGGUAAGGAUCAGAGGCACUUCCUCUGCGUUGCUCGGGUUCAGCCCUUCUACCUGGGUAGACCCCGCCUCCUCCAGUGGCGUCUGGAGUCCUUUCAAGACAGCUUCCUCCACCGUCAGAGGAGUGUCACCCGGGUCGUCUGAAGCACGCGUCCACUCGCGUACGUUCUUCAAGGGUCUUAGCUCCUUAGAGGGCCCUUGGGUAUCGUUUUCAUGGGCUGUAGUGUUAUUCACAUUAUUAAUAAGAGGGGUGCAUGGGAAGUUAUUAGACCCUCGGGCUGGCCCGUCAGCUCCGAUAAGAUCGUUCACUCCACGGCAAGAGGGGUCUUCCUCAGGUGUUACCUGAGCCUCAUUUACUGAUUUAUUUUGUGCUGACAUUAUUAGGGGUGUAACCUGUGAGAUAAUGACACCAGCCGCCACCUGUUACCAAGGCUGAACUGGGCAUAUCCGUCUUUCCAGACUUGUCAGACUAGCUAUCAGCAUUGGCCACGCUUUUGUUAGAAACGUGCUCAGGACGCACCACGGGAAGGUGCUGAUCAGCAUAUGUUGGUAGCCGUCAAGCCUCCCUACUUUGCGCAAUCUGCAACUGGGCGUCACCCCUGUCACAGACUCCUAUUAGCAUCUCUAACUCUUCUACUAAGAUCCACAUUGAUCUGUCGUGAUCAGUUAGCUCCAGCCACCCUCUUUCAGGCUGCUGGGUACAGACCGCUACUACCCGCGAGUCGGGAGCCGAGGACUGCGGAUGCCAGACUCAUAGUCCUAGCCACUCUCCGUGCAGUCAGAACUAAGGCCCCGGGCCCACCUCCCGGGGACAGUGUAGAUCUGGCAGUCUUGCACCAGGGCUCGUAGGUGGGGUCUGAGGCGCCGGAGGAGAACAGCUGCCAGGACCCUGUAGUCAGCCGAGGGCAACGAGAUAGGCCUGUAGCCAUCGAGGCCGCAAUCGCUGCGGGCCUUGGGGAUCAGGCAGAUGGAACUGUGCCGCGUGUUAGUGCUUCCUUAUUGCAUGGCGUCCGUCCUGUCAAUCUGUUGCAGUCCAAUUCCUCUAUCAGCAGGCCUUCGAGUGAUCUGACUACUGAGGGCAACAUAAGCUUGGCCGUACAUAUAGAGCUUCUACCCCAAGUAAACUACUGCGUGGUCAACAGUGCUUCCUUGUGUACUGUUGGUGCCCAAGAACAAGACAGUUGGCGACAUUCUUUGUUUCACGGUUCCAUUACUAUGGUGGUGUGCCUUUUGAAGGGAUGCAUUUUUUUCCAAAUUCAUAGUGGUAGAAGGAGAAUUUUCCUCUUGGAUUGUAGCUGCUCCUAGAACAGUUACAGGAAUUGCUACGACAAAAAAAAAAAUUGUAGAUAAAAUAACCAAAUACCUAAUAAUUUUAGAUGGACUGGUACAUGUUUUCACUGCACUUCAGACAAGUCUGCCCAUUCAAUCUCUUAGUUCACAUUUUAUAUAAUAUACAAUAUUAUAUUACAAUAUUGGCCUCUAAGUCAAUGCCAAAAUGAAUGCUCUAUGAAAGCAACAAAUGAAGGGCCGAAAACGCUCAUGAAGACAAUAGAAGACAACAUAUUUAAAGGAGCAUCUCCAACGGAAAACAUCAGUUCCUAAUGUUAGGAAGAUAUCUUCAUAAAGGUUCAAGAGAAUGCUCUAUAAAGACAACAAAUUGAAAGUUGUUGCGCGACCUGCACCCCCUUGAGGCACCCCUGGAGCAGAUGGCCACCCAGACCUUACGGUCCACAAGCCGGCAUGCGAAGCAUGCCCUUAGCUGCUAUCUUGUUCCACUCAUAAGCCAAGUAACGGCAUCCAAGCUGGUGCUUGAAUAUUGUACCUGGAAAAACCACCUCCCAGAUGACGAGUCUGGAAGAAUUUAUAUACCGGUGACCUUUAGUCACAGCAAAACAGUAAACUGUCUACUGCGUCCAGCUGGGACCACGGGAAGGCGGCCACCUGUUGACCCUGUUCAUUCGCAGCUGAGAAAGAGCUCAGCUGCCACAUCGUGAGCUUUCUCGAGAUGCUUGCUGUGAUUUCUCAGCAGCUCGCUCUCGCCCCUCGCCCUCCUUCUCUCUUCCUGCACGCCUACCACCCUUGAGCAAUCCAAGACGUAGUGGCCUGCGUCUACAUCCCUCUCUCCACAGACGCAAUCAGGAUUGCUCUUUAUCUUGAAUCUGUGGAGACUCCUGGGGAAGGGCCCAUGUCCCGAAACUACCCUAAUUAGUACCUUACAUAGGUACUUGGGUAUUGUUACCCAAUUUGAUACCUCCCUCCCCUUGUCGCUGCUCUUCCAUCUGUCCAACCAUAGGUCCUGGACGUGCCCCCUGAUCCUCCUAUAAACUUCCUUUUUGGUCACAGGAGUCCUCACAGAUCUACCUCUAAAGCACCCUGCUUUAGCGAGCCUGUCUGCAAAUUCAUUACCUUCGAUGAGGCUGUGACCCCUAACCCAAUGGAGAUCUGGAGCCCGCGAUAUCAUCUCCAGCUCCUGGAUUAUUUGAUGCGCGAGUUGCCCCUUCUCCAUAUUGAUGGCGACCAGGGCCGACAUGCAAUCUGAAUAGAGGCGGUCAGGGCUCAAGUUCUUCUCGGCACACAUUCUGAGGGCUUCCCUGAUCGCAACCAGCUCGGCUGAAUAGACCAGUUCGUCCACUCUGAGUGUUACGCUUUCUUGGAAGAUCAGCUCCCCAUUGGUGAAGAUCACAACCCCAGCUCCAGUAUUGGUUCCAGACUUGCUCCCAUCAGUGAAGACCUCCGUACCAAUCCCUGUUGGCACUCCAGGACUCCCAAUUCCACUUUGGCAGCCACUGCGGAGGCUUCCUUGGGUCCCUCUUCCAUUCCAAGGUACCCGCUUCAAGGCCCAGGGCGUCUUCCCUAUCUUCCCAAAUUUUCUGUCUGAUGGCCUCCUCCUCUAGCUUCAAACCCAGGGGAAUAAGCCCAGCGAGGACCAACAAGGCCUCCGUGCUGGUAGUGCGAUAUCCCCCUGUGAUUCUGAGUGCCGCUGUCCUCUGCACUCUCUCUAGAGUUGUUGCCACCUUCUGAUCUUUAUUUCGGCGCCACCAGGCCCUAGAGGCAUAUAAUAGGAUUGGCUCGACACAGGAAAGGUAGAGGUUCCUAAAGAUAGUACCCUCCUUGCCCCCCCCCUGUUGAGAGCUAACCGUGACAGCCUGCACAAUGCCUGUCUGCCUCUCGCCACCAUCUCCGCGUGGUAUUGCCAUCCCAACUUAUCAUCAAUAACCAACCCCAGGAUGGUCAUCCUAUUUACUACCGAUACCCUCCGUCCUUCCAUCCGGAUAGCCGGCUUAUGUUCCCAUCUGAUCCCUUUUCUUUUGGUUCUUAUGUCCCUAGACUUAAAGCUGAGGGCUUUAGUUUCAGUGACAUUGAACCUAAGGCCAGAGUCGUGGGCCCAGUUCGCGAGGAUUUGGAGAGAGUUUUCCACACACUUCUCAACCUUCGCUCUCAAAGCAGCCUCAAUGAUGAGGAACUGGUCGUCGGCAUAGAGAACCAGCCUGACUCCCUCAGGUAGCUCCUCCUGGAAAACAGUGUUUACCAGGAUGUUCCACAGAACAGGUCCACAGCAGGAGCCCUGGGGGCAACCCCUGGCACAUUUUCUUACCAACUUCAGUCCAUCAAAACUGAGGCUAACCCGUCUAUCCCUCAGGAAGUCACGAACCAAGCUACACAAAUUAUUCAGAAAACCCAUAUCCAUCAAAUUUCUCAUCAGCUUGUUCCAGUUCAUGGAAUUGAAAGCACCAUCAAUGUCCAGGGCCACGAGAAGAACCCAAGCACCCUUAUUUAGCCCUAUCUCAACCCCCUCUAAUACUUCGUUCAGAGCUGUGGUUGUCGACUUGCCUUCCCUAAAACCAUGUUGGGAAGAGGAAAGGAGCUCAUUACUCUCUAGCCAGUGCUUCAGACGCUGAGCUAGUUGGCUAUCCAGGACCUUACCUAGACACGCUAGUAACAAAAGCGGACGAUAAUCAAUAGGGGAAUUACCCUUUCUACCAGACUUUUCCAGAAGCACUACUCGGGCAACCUUCCAUACCUUAGGAAAAGUACGUGUCCAGGCACCUAUUGAAUAACCUGGCAAGAAGCGAUGGGUGCAUCCUAACCAGGGCUUUCACGAUCGUGUUAUCGAUUCCGUCCGACUCAGGAGAUUUCCUGUUCCCCCGAACUUGAAAGCCGUCCGUUUAACCUCCAUCUCAGAAAAGGGCGGAUCCACCAAACCACAGUUGGUCAGCGAAAUCUCAUCCUCUGGCACUUCGUUUCCAAAAUGCCGAUCCAAGAUGAGGUCCAGGGUCUCCUUAAGGUCCCGGGUUUUGAACCCAUCUUCAUCUUCAAGCAGCCUCAAGUUAGCGGAGCUCCUUAUCUUACCAGAAACAACCCUGUAAGGGAGAACGUAUGGAUUUAUUUCCAGUACGGUGUUGCACUGCUCCCUCCAGUGUCUCCUCUUCGCCCUCUUGGUGCGUCUUUUAUAUCACGCCAAGAUUUUCCUGUAGGCUAUUCCCCUCCUGAUCCUUUCUUCGCCUAUGCUGUUCUGGAAUAGUUUCCUCAUGGCCCUGACUCUUUCUCUCGAUCUCUAACUCCUCUGUCCACCAAGGCUGUUUAAGCCUUUUAAAUGUGGUAACUUUUCCAGGCCCCAGCGCUCGACACGUGUUGAUUAUAUCCUGGUGAAGCUCAUUGACCAUGCUAUCAAUAGCAAUUCCGUCAACAGCUCCAGUCAGGCUACCCUCAAGCGUGCAAACAAACCGGCGUCUGAAUCUUUCAAGGUUAGGCCCCCUGAUACAGAGGAGCUCUCUCCACUGAUGGCGGUUCCACAUCACAACUGGCUUCAAACCUGAUGAGUUUGUAGUCGCUUACGUCCGUGGGGUCCGUUUCCCACCUCAAACGCCGCAUCCUGCUUGUUCUUGCCAGGAAGAAGUCUAUUAUGCUUUCACCGUUUACCGUGGCAAACGUUGAUUCACCAUAGACGUUCCAAACUUCCAGACCCUGACCGACAACUAAAUCGACCAGAGACCUUCCUUUGCGAUUUUCCUCCCUGUCCCCAAACAGCUGGGUGCGCGCAUUAAAAUCCCCGCCAAUCACAAUCUUGUGCCCUUCCUUCUGGACCAAAAGGUAAUUUAGGAAGUCCAGCCUACCGAGAUCGUUGUCCUGAGGUGGUAUGUACACAGAGAGGCAGACCAAUUUUAGAUCCGCCGCCUCGAUCUGUACAGCCGCUGCCCCCUCCCAGGACCCACAUCCCAGACAAGGAAGGUCUCCCCGGACCAGUAAGGCAGCCUUUUUGCACUCACUAGAGAAGAAACUAUAUCGAGUAUAUAGACCCAUCCUCCCAUCAUCCUCCAGGUACAUCUCCUGCACCUUGAUAACGUGAGGGUGAUCACUUUUAAUGAUCCGGUCUAGCUCCUCGGAGCUCCCCCUCGAAUGGGCGCAAUUUAGCUGCACAAACCUCCAUACCUCCUUAUUUGGCCCCUCUACCAUUUCCUCCCAUUCACAUACCAGGCCUUUACCGAGCACUGCGUACUCCGGGGGCGAUGAUCAGUCAUACUUCCUGCCGUACCUCUUAUUGGCCUCUAAGCAGAGCCAACAUCCCGGCCUCAUGUCACAACCCUGCUCUGGGGAGUGUACGCCCUCGCACCUCCCACACCUCUUAGGGUGUUUGCAGGUUCUUGCAAUAUGACCGGCCCUGAGGCACCUGAAGCAGGUCGACACCGCGUCGUUCACCCUGAUAGGUACCAUCCUUGCACCUAUUUUCAACCUCUUCUUGCCCAAGAGGAAUUUCAUGGUGCCUCCUUUAAGCCAGAAAUGACCCAAUUCGUGGCGUAGGGCCUCCUUGUUCUCUUUUGAUACAAUCUCAUAUAUCCUUCCAAGAAGUCCCCACACCCCGAAUUUUGGAGCACCACCAUUUCUCUUAGCAUCCCCUCUUUAAUGUCAGAGUUGACACCUAAGAGGAUCAGCUCCCUCCUGGCCCUCUUGAGGCCUCCAAGCCUCAGAGCAGGCACCCUCUCUAUAGCCUCCAUGGCCAGUUUCCUGUCCUCGGGGUUCUUCAAAAUGAGGGCCACCGCACCCCCACCCCGAAUUAUUUUGAGGUCAUAGCGGUUCCCAGGAAUGCUACCAGCGGUGCUUUUCAGUACCGCGAGCAUUAACCCAGACCCUGCUCCCUCAUUCCACUCAACUACCAGGGUCAGAUCCUCGUUCCAUCUUGGAGGUUCUGGCCUGGUACUCCUAGCCGCCUUGGGGGGAACCUUGUUUUCCCUGGUCCCUGUCUUCUUUGGGGGUCCCUACUUGGUGGACCUGGCUGCCUUGGGGGGCCCCUUUUCCUCUUCAGUCCUGGACUUCUUUGGAGGUUCCGGCUUGGUGGGCUUGUCUGCCUUGGGCGGUUCCUUGUCCUUCUCAGCUCUGGUCUUUCUUGGAGGUUCCGGCUUGUUUGUUUUCGCCGCCUUAGGGGGGUCCUUUACUUCAUCAGCCCUGAUCUUCGGGGGAGGAGGCUCUUUCUUCUCCUCUGUGGGCUUCGCUCCUGGUGGGUCCUCUUUCUCAUUUGCCGACUCUUCUCUUCUUCCAUCCUCCUCCUUUCUCGUCGGCUUCCUGUCCCUCUUCUUCCUCUUCUUUUCCCUUUUAUCUUUUUCUGCCAUCUCACUGUUCUCAGUUUGAACAGGCUGUCUUGGGGGAGAUGGCAGAGCGGCCUCUUUGGUCCUAGUUGGUGUUUUGACCAGGACCCCCUCUACUUCAGGGCAGUAAAUCGAGGUCGUUGCCCUUGUGGGCUCUUCCGUCUUCUCGUGGUGGGCGGGCGACUCUCGCCUAGGGAGGACUGGGGAAGCGUCAUGGGGAGGACAUACCUCAACCUCAGCUAUUUUUAGCGACUCUGCAAGAGCCGCUGCCACUCCUCUCUCUAUGCCGUACUGCAGGGUGGUUGGACUGAGGAAUUUCUCCUCAAGCUUCCGCUUUUCCACCCGCAGGAGUUCGAGCUCUUCAAUGGCUGCCCUAUGCUUAUUGAGGAGCUUAUCGAAGCAUUGCUCGAGGAUGUUCGGGUGAACGUUCCCAACUUUCCUCCCUCGCCGUAUGGUGGCUAGGGAGUCGUGGAAAGCCUCCGUAAGCUCCGAACUCUUCUUCUGGGGUGUCAACGCCUGGUUUAGGAAGUCGUUAAGGUCGUUGAGGUACCCUGGCUUGGUGAAGUCUUUCCCAAACCCUGACUCCUCGACUGUUGGGCUGAUUCUCGCCUCAGAAGAAGGAUCAAUCAGCAUAAAAGGAUCCAACGGGACCUCCAUGUUGAUGAUAUUGGAGGGCCCUUGGUCCCGGGUAUCUGGGGCAUCAGAUCCCUGGGGGCCUUUCGGACCUCAGUCCUAGCAGGGCGUGCGUGCUGACCCAGAGAGGCGAUCUCAGUAUGGGUGUCGGCCGUUAGCUCGACUUCAUAGGGGGUGUUGGCCGUUAGCCCAACUUCAUUUGGUGUACCGGCCGUUAGCUCGGCUUCGCUAGUCAUCUUUCUUGGGCUUACUUUGUUGUAUUUCAUGAAAGAUGGCGUUCCAGUUCAAUAAUGUCAUGGUUACCACCGGUCCCCAAGGUAGCCAUCACAUAGCUGUCUUUCCAGUCUGUCUGACAAGCUGUCAAGUUUAGCCGUACUCUGGUUAAGAGACGCCCAGGGCGCACCACGUGGAGGUGUUGAUCGGCACAUGUAGGUAGCCAUCAGGCCUCCCUACUUUGCGCAGUCUGCAACUGGCGUCGAUGAUGUCAGCCCGGGAAGCCCUGAUCUGCUGGACCAUUGUUGUUCUUGCCGCAAGUGGUCGUCUUCGCGGGGUUGCGCCGGUCCUUCCAGAGGCGCUGAUACCGCUGGAGCGCUGUUCAACGGCGCGGCCUGGCGACUCCCUACAUCUUCGUUUGGAUCGCACCACGGUGAAGCCUUCUUCACCAGAUUCCGAGGCCUCCAUUCGUUCGGCCCAGUUCGCGCAGCGCCCACAGUGCCGCUUGUUGAAGGCGUGGCAUCAGCGGCGCAAGCUGCGGCAAAAUUUGCAUGCUGUUUGUCUGCGGGUAAAUUUGCAUAGGUGCAGUUUGAAUUUUUCAUUCUUGAUUCUUCAACUUGAUGAUUUUUUGCGGAUAUCUCCGCAACAGCUUUGUUAUCAGAGCCGAGCCUUCCAGUCUCAUGUACAGUUGUCACAGUCGGGGCAUCUACAUGGCAGUCACAGACAAUGCGUUGUCGACGGCGCGAUACGCAUAACGCGCACGAAAAGUUAGAAAUUUUAUGCAUAGAAGGCAGUACACCAUAACUAACAACAAAGCAAGGAUAACAGUUAGGAUAAGAAGUUGUGUUUUCAAUCCAGCGAUGUCAAGUUGGCCGCCAGGGUGAGAUUCCAACCAUUGCAAAAUCUCCGACAGGCAGUCUGUACCUGAGCACGUAGGAUGAGAGCUGAAAACCAUUAAGGCAGUAAGAUUAUAGCUUAAGUACCUAGUAGUGGGAAUAUGACAUCCGCUACUUAAAAUCGAUGUACAGCUCGAUGUGGGCUUUCGGCCAAUAUAAAAUUCGUUGUCUUCCGCGACAUUCCAAUGCUCGCCAGAGGCGAAAACGGCGGAGCUAAAAAUAGCGUGGCCGCUCGCCUCAUGUAUGUAUGUAUAUGUAUGUAUGUAUAUGUGUAGCAUACAAUCUUCGUAAUAAUAAUUCUUCGAGAAAGCAAAGAAUUUGCUCGACAAGUAGCUCUCGUUUGUGUUUAUCUCGUGGCCAAAGUUUGAUAUGGCAUCCGACACUUUCUUCUUUAAGAAUUCAGUAUACUCCUCAAAAGUGUCAAAUCCUACAGAUUUGGGAUCAUCCUUUAUGUAUUGGGGAAUCCCAAUAAUGGCUCUCAGGUCGUCGCCUUUAACUAGUAUCCUAACUAUAACAGGCAACCCUCUAAAUGCCGCUUGAAUCUGCCCAUAGUACACCUCCAUCCAAUCGAGUUGGAGAUGGCCCUCUACUCCCCCGUCCUGGCCAUCCCAUUGGAUGAAGAUGUCUUGGUCAGCUAUAUAAAGAGGGUUGUCUGAAAAGGGUACUGGGAUUUUGAAAACGCCUCGGUCCCCAUCACUGCGUCGUGUAUUUGCCGGAGGACAGGCUCACAAACAGCUACUCUGAAGAGAUUGUAUGUAUAUGUGUAUGUAUGUAUAUGUGUAUGUAUGUAUGUAUGUAUGUAUGUAUGUAUGUAUGUAUGUUCAAUUUAAGUGUAGGAUUUUUACUAUUAGCUUUUUUACAAUUUUCUGUUUUAGUACAUGAUUUAGAAAUGUGGCCC
rnacentral:piRNA from 1 species